rnacentral:rRNA from 1 species
GAUGAACGCUAGCUACAGGCUUAACACAUGCAAGUCGAGGGGAAACGAUAUUGGAAGCUUGCUUCCGAUAGGCGUCGACCGGCGCACGGGUGAGUAACGCGUAUCCAACCUGCCCAUCACUUGGGGAUAACCUUGCGAAAGUAAGACUAAUACCCAAUGACGUCUCUAGAAGACAUCUGAAAGAGAUUAAAGAUUUAUCGGUGAUGGAUGGGGAUGCGUCUGAUUAGCUUGUUGGCGGGGUAACGGCCCACCAAGGCGACGAUCAGUAGGGGUUCUGAGAGGAAGGUCCCCCCACAUUGGAACUGAGACACGGUCCAAACUCCUACGGGAGGCAGCAGUGAGGAAUAUUGGUCAAUGGACGAGAGUCUGAACCAGCCAAGUAGCGUGCAGGAAGACGGCCCUAUGGGUUGUAAACUGCUUUUAUAAGGGAAUAAAGUGAGUCUCGUGAGACUUUUUGCAUGUACCUUAUGAAUAAGGACCGGCUAAUUCCGUGCCAGCAGCC